rnacentral:rRNA from 1 species
CCUACGGGAGGCAGCAGUGAGGAAUAUUGGUCAAUGGUCGGGAGACUGAACCAGCCAAGCCGCGUGAGGGAUGAAGGUACAGAGUAUCGUAAACCUCUUUUGUCAGGGAACAAAGGCGGGCACGCGUCCCCGGAUGAGUGUACCUGAAGAAAAAGCAUCGGCUAAUUCCGUGCCAGCAGCCGCGGUAAUACGGAGGAUGCGAGCGUUAUCCGGAUUUAUUGGGUUUAAAGGGUGCGCGGGCGGUCUGUUAAGUUUGCGGUCAAAGCCCGGGGGUCAACCCGGGCACGCGGUGGAAACUGGCAGGCUCGAGUGGGAGAGAGGUAGGCGGAAUGCGCGGUGUAGCGGUGAAAUGCAUAGAUAUCGCGCAGAACUCCGAUUGCGAAGGCAGCAUGCGGGCUCCACACUGACGCUGAGGCACGAAGGCGUGGGUAUCGAACAGGAUUAGAUACCCUUGUAGUC